CCUACGGGAGGCUGCAGUGGGGAAUAUUGGGCAAUGGGCGCAAGCCUGACCCAGCAACGCCGCGUGAAGGAAGAAGGCUUUCGGGUUGUUAACUUCUUUUAAGAGGGAAGAGCAGAACACGGUACCUCUUGAAUAAGCCACGGCUAACUACGUGCCAGCAGCCGCGGCAAUACGUAGGUGGCAAGCGUUGUCCGGAUUUACUGGGUGGAAAGGGCGUGCAGCCGGGAAGACAAGUCAGAGGUGAAAUCCCGCGGCUCAAUCGCGGAACUGCAGUUGAAACUGGUUUUCUUGAGUACCGGGGAGGUCAGCGGAAUUCCUUGUGUAGCGGUGAAAUGCGUAGAUAUAAGGAAGAACACCAGUGGCGAAGGCGGAUGGCUGGACGGCAACUGACGGUGAGGCGCGAAAGCGUGGGGAGCAAACAGGAUUAGAUACCCUAGUAGUC
rnacentral:rRNA from 1 species